rnacentral:rRNA from 1 species
UGGUCCGCAGUCGACGAUUCCUACGGGAGGCAGCAGCAGGGAAUAUUGCACAAUGGGCGCAAGCCUGAUGCAGCGACGCCGCGUGAGGGAUGAAGGCUUUCGGGUUGUAAACCUCUUUCAGUGGGGAAGAAGCGCAAGUGACGGUACCCACACAAGAAGGCCCGGCCAACUACGUGCCAGCAGCCGCGGUAAUACGUAGGGGCCAAGCGUUAUCCGGAUUUAUUGGGCGUAAAGAGCACGUAGGUGGCAUGGUAAGUCAAAGGUGAAAGCCCUCGGCUCAACCGAGGAAUUGCCUUUGAAACUGCUUUGCUUGAGUCCGGGAGGGGGGAGCGGAAUUCCCAGUGUAGCGGUGAAAUGCGUAGAUACUGGGAGGAACACCGGUGGCGAAGGCGGCUCCCUGGACCGGUACUGACACUGAGGUGCGAAAGCGUGGGUAGCAAACAGGAUUAGAUACCCUGGUAGUCCACGCCGUAAACGAUGGGCACUAGGUGCAGCGGGUGUCGACCCCUGCUGUGCCGUAGUUAACGCAUUAAGUGCUCCGCCUGGGGAGUACGGUCGCAAGGUUGAAACUCAAAUGAAUUGACGG